CUUCACAUCCCGAUCCCCUCCAUGGAAGAAUCCCCUAUUUCAACUUACACGUCUCCGUAUUCAUCCACUUCCUUCCAACCGAACUAGCUUUCCAUCAACCACAUCCAAGAUCCCACAGUUCAGCUCUCAUCCCGCUUGUGAUCCCCUGCAUCUCGGAUUACAUCCCCUACGGAACCAAGUCCCAAUCCCAUCUUAUCCGAGAUCCUUUCAAACG
rnacentral:lncRNA from 1 species